rnacentral:tRNA from 1 species
GCGCCCGUAGCUCAGUUGGAUAGAGCGCCGGCCUCCGGAGCCGGAAGCGGGGGUUCAAGUCCCUCCGGGCGUA